AUAAGUUUCUCUUGUUUCCAUUUUGACUUUAUUUCUCUCGGUUUCUAUUUUCCUCUUCAGCUUGUCUUCUACCUUCUCGAUUUCGUCUUCUCUCUUUCUUGUUCUUCACCUUUGUUCUCCUCUAUCUUCUUUCUUCAAUGACUACAGCUUCGUUCUCCAGCUCUCUGUUCCUCUUCUCUCUUCUCUCUUCUCUGGCUCUCCAUUCCUCUUUCACCUUCGUUCUCUGGCUAAAGGUUACCUACUCCUUGAAUUGGAAGUAUAAUUGAAUCACGUGAGGGUAAGUGAAGAUAUUUAUGCUUAUUUGUUAUUUUAUCUUUUGCUAUUGAAAAUUAGAGUUAUAUUGACUUGGAGUUCUUCAUUCAAACAUCACACACACAAUGUUAGCUUGAACGAAUGAAAUUUGUCUACAGUGUAUUGUUUUCACUAGUGAAUUCACUACAACAAAAAAGUAUCUAUUUUACAUCCCAAAAUUGAAAGGAGAAAAAAAAAACUGUCCCAAAAGAUAAAAAUUCGCGUUUUUUGGCGGAAACAGAUGAAAGUUUUCAGAUUCUACUUUUUGCCACAAUUAUUCGUUGUCAUCAAAGAUGCAGAAAAUUUUUUAUUAAACUAAAGUUUCCACCUAUUCUUAAACCCAGCUCACGCAAAUGAAAAUUCCAAACCCUCACAUGAUUUCGAUCAUCUCCGACCAUCAAUCUGAAUGGUGAGUGGAUUGUGUCUGCUGACGUGUCUGGGAUUGUGAGGAUUUGGGCACUCAUACUAAGUUCAUGCUCAAGGAGUUUAAGGUUUUGUCUGGGCUGAUCGAUGAUUUGCAAUUGUCUCCUGAUGGAAUGAGGAUUGUGGCUUGUGGUGAAGUGAACGGAAAAUCGUUCGUGCGUGCUUUUAUGUGGGAUUCAGGUACGAAUGUUGGCGAGUUUGAUGGUCAUUCUAGCAGGUUUUAAGUUGUGCAUCUAAACCAACAAGACCCUUUUGCAAUGCCACUUGCGGAGAGCAUUUCCUAGUGAAUUUUUAUGAAGGACCACCAUUUAGAUUUAAGCUAUCUCUCAAGUUUGUUGAUUGUUAUUCUUUCUAAAUGCAGGUCGUCUGUACUUCCCUUCCGUAUUUAUUGAUGACAUUAUAACGAACUUCAAUUGCAUUGUGUUGGAGUCUGUUACUUUCGGAACUUAGUGCUGAUAAUGGCCAUCUGAAGCAUGAAAGUUUGUGUUACUAGUUUCUACAGUUUGCUUUUGGCUUAUAGUCUUGUCUUCUUUGUAAUUAUGUAAUAUUGAAAUAUUUUAGGCUAGGCUAUGAGAAGCUAAAAUAAUGGAUGCUGAAGCCAAAAAGUAGUAAUCUAUUCCUGCAGCUGAAGUGUGCAUGUAGAGUUGAUCAAGAAACAAAGAAGUUUUACCCCAAAAAGAAAAAUACUUAGGUGUAUCCUAGAAUUUUUUCUUUUUGUGUUUAGGGUUUAGGGACCAUUCCAAGAUGGACAUACAAUUCUUCAUUUUUUCUUUGUGUGUAAUAAGAAUGGGAUGAACAAAGAUGAGUGCACUAUUGCUCUUAAGUUUGAAAGAUAUCUGGUGACUUGUUUAUUUA